GGAGAGGUGGCCGAGUGGUUGAAGGCACUGGUCUUGAAAACCAGCGUGCCGCAAGGUACCGUGGGUUCGAAUCCCACCCUCUCCG
rnacentral:tRNA from 1 species